UCAUAAUCACGAAAAAAUCCUCAAAAUGAAACUAUAAAUACACUACCUAUGAUCUAUAAAUUCAUCAACUAAAACCAACAGCAAGAAGAAACAAACAUUGUACUGAAGUUCUAUAGCUUUUGCGAGUUCUCUAAACUUCUUAUUCUGCAAGUAUGGCUAUAGUCCCUGUUUCGGCUAGAAGGAUAUUCCGUGGCGACGGAGACGACAAUGGUUCGGCAAUCUUUCCAGAAAAACCCUGAUGUUUACGCUCGAUGGGGUUCACAUCUGGCUGGUUUAAAUUGAUGGAUCUCGGUUGGCCAGAAAUAAGUGUGGAUUUGAUGAGUUAAUAUGAAUAUUUGCGUGUGUGCUUAAGUUGGUUCGUCCUAUGUAUCCUCGUACAUGUAUGUGGUAGUUUGGUAUGUAGUGUUGUACCUUUCCUCAUGCAAUAAAUAAACGGGAUACUAGUCAUAUUACUAUUUCUCA